UCCUCGCCACCUUGUAGCUCUCCCUAUUCGCUCUCCUUUCCUCCUCGCUUGUGCUCCCUGCCAACUUAGCGAACGCCACUUUUUUUGCCUCCACUUUUCCUUGAACAUCGUUCCACCACCAGUCACCUAGAUGUCUGCCUGAAUAGCCCUUGGCUACCCCGAGCACAUCCCGCGCUGCCUCCCUAACUAGAUUUGCCGUCUCUGACCACAUUGCGUCCGCUUCGCCAGAACUCCU
rnacentral:lncRNA from 1 species